GCCCCGAUAGCUCAGCUGGAUAGAGCGACUCCCUCCUAAGGAGUAGGCCGCUGGUUCGAAUCCAGCUCGGGGCG
rnacentral:tRNA from 2 species